UUGGAGGGCAAGUCUGGUGCCAGCAGCCGCGGUAAUUCCAGCUCCAAUAGCGUAUAUUAAAGUUGUUGCAGUUAAAAAGCUCGUAGUUGAAUUUCGGGAUUAAUUUAUUGGUCGUGCUAUUGUACGUACUGGUAUUAUUGAUUCCUACCUUCUGACGAACCACGAUGUCAUUAAUUUGGUGUCAUGGGGAAUCAGGACUGUUACUUUGAAAAAAUUAGAGUGUUUAAAGCAGGCUCACGCUUGAAUACAUUAGCAUGGAAUAACGAAAUAGGACGUUUGAUUCUAUUUUGUUGGUUUCUAGGAUCGACGUAAUGAUUAAUAGGGAUAGUUGGGGGCAUUAGUAUUCAAUUGUCAGAGGUGAAAUUCUUGGAUUUAUUGAAGACUAACUACUGCGAAAGCAUUUGCCAAGGAUGUUUUCAUUAAUCAAGAACGAAAGUUAGGGGAUCGAAGACGAUCAGAUACCGUCGUAGUCUUAACCAUAAACUAUGCCGACUAGGGAUCGGAUGAUGUUAAUUUUUUAAUGACUCAUUCGGCGCCUUACGGGAAAC
rnacentral:rRNA from 1 species